ensembl:lncRNA
AUGAUCCAUGAUCAGUACCUGAAGGGAGAUUUCUCUCUCACCAUCUCUGACGCUGAUUACAGUAUGAUGGGCACGUACACAUGUGAGUGCGGUAAUUCUGAACUCUGUGAUGUGCGGCUUCAGGUUGAGGAAACACCAGAGGCAGGGAACAAUAUUUCUGGCAGCAGUCAUACUAAAGGAACGUCCCACGUGUAUGUGUCAGCUGUUCCUCUAGUGAGGGUGAAGCUUCAUGACUCUGCUACUCUGCCCUGCUCUGAGACAUGUUCUGGUUUGGUCAGAUGGACUGAGUUCCAUAAUCCCACUGAUGUUCUGGCUGAGUGUGAUCAGACCUCAUGUAGAUCAGUGAAGGAGGGAUAUCAGAUGAUCCAUGAUCAGUACCUGAAGGGAGAUUUCUCUCUCACCAUCUCUGACGCUGAUUACAGUAUGAUGGGCACGUACACAUGUGAGUGCGGUAAUUCUGAAGUCUGUGAUGUGCGGCUUCAGGUUGAGGAAACACCAGAGGCAGGGAACAAUAUUUCUGGCAGCAGUCAUACUAAAGGAACGUCCCACGUGUAUGUGUCAGCUGUUCCUCUAGUGAGGGUGAAGCUUCAUGACUCUGCUACUCUGCCCUGCUCUGAGACAUGUUCUGGUUUGGUCAGAUGGACUGAGUUCCAUAAUCCCACUGAUGUUCUGGCUGAGUGUGAUCAGACCUCAUGUAGAUCAGUGAAGGAGGGAUAUCAGAUGAUCCAUGAUCAGUACCUGAAGGGAGAUUUCUCUCUCACCAUCACUGACGCUGAUUACAGUAUGAUGGGCACGUACACAUGUGAGUGCGGUAAUUCUGAACUCUGUGAUGUGCGGCUUCAGGUUGAGGAAACACCAGAGGCAGGGAACAAUAUUUCUGGCAGCAGUCAUACUAAAGGAACGUCCCACGGUAAGAUCUGUCCAGUUACAAAACACUAGCAGGGCCAGUUCUAGCAUUUUUGGGAGGCCUAGGCAGGUUUUUUUUUUUUUUUUGUGGGGGGGGGGGGGCGGGGGUAUCUUGCUUGCUGAUGCACUGUAAAAGUGGAAGCUAACUCAUAACAACGAUUACCACCAGCUGUGUAAAUUACGUACAUUUGUAAGUAGCUAAUUGUGUAAUUCUGAUUACUGGAUGCUAGUUUGGGGUUUUAAUAUGUUACCAUUUAAAUUACAGCUAACCUUCUAAAGAUUUAGAGCCAGUAAUUCUCAGUCUGUAAACAGUUUUACAGCCCAUCUUGUUUGCUGAACUGUAUUCUAAUCGUGUUGUUGUCCACUUGCUCAGGAUCAGUACAGCAGGUUGGGAAUCUGGUGUGGUUCUGUGGCCACUUUUCUUCAGUAUCUGAUUAAACGGACCUAAUUUCAAAUACUAUCUCAUAAAAGUCAUCUAACGUGUCAGUUUUAUGUUUUUCAUUGUACUAAAGUGGAAACUUAGUAACCUAAUAAUUACCUGCAGCGUAAAGACACUUCAAAU